CAGGGCUAUGUUUGAAGUGAUUGCUGUGGCUGUCCUUUUGGAAAUGUGCUGAUCCUCAGCUGGUGUAGGUACUUGGCGUGGUAUUCAGAGCUUGCACGUGGGUGCACCUAAUCCUACUAACAGGACUGUCUUUUGGUCAAGGUCAGGGGGGCACAAAGUUGACAUUUUCUUGGUGGGGUAGGAAGGUAAGUCGGGAAGGGUGUUGCCGAGGGAUGGAGGAUUUAAUGGUAAUGGGAGACUCAGGGGGACUUCUCCCUUACCUGUUCAUUGCCAGAUCUUUUCACACUGGGGACUUGCCCCCCCUUCUUUAAAGGAGGACUAUUUUCCUAAAGAAAGGGUGACCGCCCUGUACUCAGGGAUCGGGUCUCUCUCCCUUUUCUCCUCUCUGCCUUGGCCCUUUUAAUGCCAAAGGCCCUGGCUGGGCAAAGAGAGCCCCCUCUACCGAGGGAUUGGAGGUCUCUCCUUCUCCGCCCUCUUGGCUACGGCCCCCUGUGAUGCCCUUGGCUUAAGGACCACCCUGUGAGGAGGGUUUGGGUCUCCUUCGCCACGCUUACGUAGCCACAGGUCACUUUGACAUGCCAGGCAAAGGGACUGCCCUGUAACCAGGGUGUAAGGUCUUAGCCCUCUCGUUCUUCGACUAGGAGAGCCUCUUUGUGCCUGUGGCUGAGUGACCCCCCUUUAAGAAGGGUCGAGGUCUCUCUGGCUUUCUACCAUUGAGAACCUAGCCUUUAAUAUGCCCUGUGCCACUGACCUCUCCCUGUAAGAAGGGUGCAGGUCUCCCCUUUCUAGCUCGUCUUAGGCCGCUGGCACUUGCUGGGGGAAGGGACCACCCUCUACUGAGGGAAUGGAGGUCCCUCCUUUUCAGCGCUCUUGGCAAGGGCCCAUUGUGAUGCGCCUGGCUUAAGGACCGCCCUGUAAGGAGGGUUUGGGUCUCCUUCCCCACCCUUAUUUAGCCACCUGUCACUUUGACACGCUAGGCAAAAGGACCGCUCUGUAACCAGGGCCUAAGGUCUUAUCCUUCUCAUUCUUAAACUAGGAGAACCCCUUUGUGCCUCUGGCUGAGUGACCCCCCUUUAAGAAGGGUCGAGGUUUCUCGGGCUUUCUACUGUUUUAGGACCUAGCCUUUAAAAUGCCCUGUGCCAAUGACCUCUCCCUGUAAGAAGGGUGCAGGUCUCCCCUUUCUAGCUUGUCUUGGGCCACUGACACUUGUUGGGCAAAGAGACCACCCUCUACUGAGGGAAUGGAGGUCCCUCCUUUUCCGCGCUCUUGGCAAUGGCCCAUUGAAAUGCCCCUGGCUUAAGGACCACCCUGUAAGGAGGGUUUGGGUCUCUUUCGCCAUGCUUAUGAAGCCACAGGUCACUUUGACACGCCAGGCAAAAGGACC